ensembl:misc_RNA 7SK 7SK RNA
AGGUGAUCUGGCUGAUGGACCAAGUGAGCCAGUUGGCCCUUCCUUCUUCAUUCCUCUUUCUGAUGCUAUACACUCAGUGGAAAAGGGAACAUUCCCAUAGAGAGAAUGACUCUGGUCAAAGAUACACAAGUACUACUCCUCUCUUCUAGAACUUCCUUUCAUCUAGCAACAUCCACUGGGUGCAUAACUAUGCAUCAGGUCCGGGAGAGUUAAGAAAAAGCCACUGGCCCGAAGU